rnacentral:rRNA from 1 species
CAGUCGCCGCGGUAAUACGUAGGGUGCAAGCGUUAAUCGGAAUUACUGGGCGUAAAGCGCACGUAGGCGGCUACUCAAGUCGGGGGUGAAAGCCCGGGGCUCAACCCCGGAACUGCCCUCGAAACUAGGUAGCUAGAAUCUUGGAGAGGUCAGUGGAAUUCCGAGUGUAGAGGUGAAAUUCGUAGAUAUUCGGAAGAACACCAGUGGCGAAGGCGGCUCACUGGCUCAUACUGGACGCUGAGGUGCGAAAGCGUGGGGAGCAAACAGGAUUAGAGACCCGUGUAGUCCCUGUCUCUUAUAC